AUAUAUAGUGCAAUGAAUGAUUUAUUUGGCCACUUUUGUGUAAGGUUUUGCAGAAAGAGUUUUGAAUAUUGAAACGUGUGGAAACAGUACUCUCUUAGUGUUGCUGACGAGACUCUGAUCAUGUGAAGAGUUUGGAAAUCAAAUGCCCAAUUGUGGUGCCACCAGACAGCAGAAAACAAGUUGGUACCUCCAGCAGGCAGAGAGGCAAGAACCAUUCUUCCACCAGUUCAGGGACAAGCUACACUAUUUAUAAUACUGUGUAAUGCUCAAUGUAAUUGCAGUGCUGGUCUUUUUUAAACUUAAUGUAUUUGUAUUGUUUAAAAAAUGUACAAAUAAAAGGAAAUGUAUGG